rnacentral:lncRNA from 1 species
GUCACUUCAUUGCAAGGACAGGUACAGAGACUUGCGGCCACCUGAAAAAGAAGCAUUUCUACUUCGUCUGUCACCGGUCUGGAAGUUAUGCUUCACAAGCUACAAGUAAACAAAAGCUGAAGCGGCCUUCAAGUGUCAAGUGUGGAAAAAGAUGUUUUGCGGCAAUGGCUGUGACUGAAGACAACACAGACAAGCUGCGAGAAGGCGUGUCCAUGGAUGCAGUACUGGAUAAUGUGCGGUCCAACGUGGAUGAGACAUUCCACCGCAUUAACCUGUUAAGCAAGUGGGAUCUUCGCAAAAUAAUGAGGGAUGCCAGAGUCUCGAAGACCGAGCGGCUGCACGAUAAUGACUAUGUGAGCGUGCAACUCUGGGUUGAGAGGAUGCAUAGUGAAAAGGAAAACCCAUUGCUCUUCUUUAAACACCAAGGACAACCUGACAAAAAGUGACAUUUUUUUUAGAGAAAAAAAUGAGGACCUUUUGGAUGACAGAGAUUUGAUGCUAGUCAUCAUGACCACACCACAACAGGAGCUUUUCAAGAGGCUUGGAACUGAUCGUAUAUGUGUCGAUGGAACACAUGGAACAGCAGGUGAGCAGUACUAUAUAAAUGCAUUAAUAAUAAAAGCAAGAAAGAGGGAA